rnacentral:misc_RNA from 1 species
AGCCAUUUUGUUCAUUGUGAAUAGAUUUAGUUUACGCGCGUGCUAGCAACUGUCGUUUCAGUUGAGACGCGUCAGCUUGUUCCUAUCUUAUACGUCGAUUACAAGUCGUUUACUCAACCACAAUCCAAAAUGAGUGGCCGUGGCCCUCCUCGUAUCGAAGGCAUGACCUCAUUGAAAGUUGACAACCUCACUUAUCGCACUACAUGUGAAGACUUGCGUCGAGUAUUCGAAAAAUAUGGGGAUGUUGGAGAUGUUUACAUCCCAAAAGAUCGUUUUUCUCGAGAAAGUCGUGGUUUUGCUUUCGUCAGGUUUUAUGACAGACGUGAUGGAGAAGAUGCCAUGCAUGCCAUGGAUGGUAGAAUGAUGGAUGGACGAGAAUUAAGAGUUCAGCUGGCUCGCUAUGGACGCCCUGAUGACCCACCACGGCGCAGUGGACGUAGCUCACGCAGGAGGAGGUCUCGUUCUCGUAGUCGUUCACGUGACCGUCGAUCCAGAUCUAGAUCGCGUUCGCGCAGUCGUAGUCGAGACCGUGAUGACAAGCGAGGAAGUCGCCGUGAUGACGAUCGUCGAAGCAAGAAGAAGAGCAAGUCCAGGUCCCGUAGUCGCAGUGAUAGUCGUGAAAGAAGCCGCGAUAGAAGUCGUGAUCGAAGCCGUUCUCGCAGCAAGAGCCCAAGAGACGAUGCUGCAAACAGAUCUCCAGCAGCAAAAGAAGAACCAUCAGCUGACGCAGACAGGAGAAAUCAUGACGAAGAAGACAACGGACAUGCAGAUCGUCGCGAUGACGAUAACGAUCACAGGCGAUCUGCCUCACGUUCGCGAUCUCGUUCGCGUUCCCGAUCUGGAUCAAAGGACUGAAAUUUUUUUAAAGGCGUGUAAGGGACUUGAAGAAAAGGGGGCUGUGGUGACUUUUUUUUUUUUUUUUUUUUUUGGUGGUGGCUGCACACGAAGCGACACGAAAAAAUGGCGCGAUAUCGUCCGUUAACGAGAGGCGAGCUGCCGAGGGUGGUUUCCUGAGCUUGCUGUUAGCUGUGCUGAUGGUUGGCGUUGUGGCCGAGAUGCGAAGCCGGUGGCCGAGCCGAGCAGUUGCAGCCGCGUGUCCAGACUUGUUUUCCCGCCAAGCUGCCCAAAAAAAAAAAAAAAAGACGGCAGAAAAAUCUCUUUCCUUUAGCCUUUAUGAUACGCGAGAGAUUCGAGAUUGUGCAGUUGACCUGUCCACCUGGCGAAGUUGCUGGCGUUCCUGCAGUUUAGGAGUAAGGGGUAUUGGCCUCGGAGUUGAGAGCGCGAGCUGUUGGGGACUUUGGCGAUGGCGCCGGCUGUAGCGAUGACACGGAUCCGGGGCAGGAGGACAUCUUCCGUUGCGGCUGUUCCUUUUCUUUUCUAAUUUUAUUCAAAAACAAAGAAUUCAUUUUCAGGUUUUUCUUAUCGAGAUUGCCGAGAUAGUUCCUUGCUGAUGCGUGCAGUGCUGCCAGCUUUGGUUUUUUCCCCUUCUUUUUUCGUGGUGAAAAAGAACAAAAAAGAAAAGCCGCUUCUCGUCCUCAUUAACCGGCUGGGUGGCGGCGGUAAAUACGCAGCACAGAGUUCGAUUUGCUCGACCGGCGUCGGUAGAGGGGGGAGAGGAAAGGUGGGAGUUACCUGGUAUACAAGAAACUUGCAGCAACACGUGGUUCUAGUGUGCGAUGGAGUUCGCACGGCAGUUCAAUUGCAUCAUGUAUACGCUUGCUUGCCCUUUCGAUCCAAGUGUCAAUGAAAGUUGACUUCCUUUAGGCGCUGUCUAGGGGGUGGCGGCGGUGGCUUCUCUUGACGGGAGUAUUUAUCUCUGCAGUCACCGGCGUUUGUGUGGGAUUCGGUUGGCCGUUAGUUCACCGCCCAUUUUUGGACGAGUUUUUUUUUUCUCGUUUCGGUAAGACCUACCUCCAACUGCCAAUUCUCCCUCAGGGUUAACUCAUGUGAAGAAACCAGUCAAGUCGCCAAAGGCGUUUAAGUCAACAAAAGGUAAUGGAACUCCUUUUUUUUUUCUCACAUUUAUUGUUGUCACUUUACUGCUCUGUUGAUCAAGUCUUUGCGAACUUUACACUGUGCAAUAAAGAAAAAGAUUGUUGAUGGCAUUUAUUGUUUCUCUGGUCUUUCGUGAUAAUAAAUUAAUAAAACAAUCGGUAAAUCA